rnacentral:pre_miRNA from 1 species
GUCUCCUGAAUUUGUCGAGAGCCCAAGCUGGUUUACAGAGUCACUUUACAGAGAGCCUAAGGCACUCUGGCUCUAUGAACCCGUCACCAUAUCAGGCUUUUGGUAGAGUUAUUUUGUGAACUAGCUCAGGCUCUCGGCAGGGUUGGGAGA